UGGGGAAUAUUGCACAAUGGGCGCAAGCCUGAUGCAGCCAUGCCGCGUGUGUGAAGAAGGCCUUCGGGUUGUAAAGCACUUUCAGCGAGGAGGAAGGUGGUGAGCUUAAUACGCUCAUCAAUUGACGUUACUCGCAGAAGAAGCACCGGCUAACUCCGUGCCAGCAGCCGCGGUAAUACGGAGGGUGCAAGCGUUAAUCGGAAUUACUGGGCGUAAAGCGCACGCAGGCGGUUUGUUAAGUCAGAUGUGAAAUCCCCGGGCUCAACCUGGGAACUGCAUUUGAAACUGGCAAGCUAGAGUCUCGUAGAGGGGGGUAGAAUUCCAGGUGUAGCGGUGAAAUGCGUAGAGAUCUGGAGGAAUACCGGUGGCGAAGGCGGCCCCCCUGGACGGAGACUGACGCUCAGGUGCGAAAGCGUGGGGCAGCAAACAGGAUUAGAUACCCUGGUAGUCCACGCUGUAAAACGAUGUCGAUUUGGAGGUUGUGCCCCUUGAGGCGUGGCUUCCGGAGCUAACGCGUUAAAUCGACCGCC
rnacentral:rRNA from 1 species